rnacentral:lncRNA from 1 species
GCAGCAUAGGAAGGUGUAAUUUCUCAGCUUCUCCUUACUCAAAGAAGUUACUGAUGGCUGUUCAAAUUGAUUGCUUCAUACUUGAUGACUGAUAAUGAUUAUGAUGACAACUUCUAUGAUGAUGGUGAUUAUGAUGAUGAUGUUGGUCCUGAUCAUGGUGAUGAUGGCAAUCAUGAUGACCAUGAUGAUGAUGUUGGUCCUAAUCAUGGUGAUGAUGGCGAUCAUGAUGACCAUGAUGAUGAUGAUCGAAAUGCCGGCAAUGAUUGUGAUGUUGAAUUCGAUGAUAUGGCUCCUGUACGGGUUAAAGCGGCUUAACAGAAGGUGCUGACUUUGCCGAAUCUUAUCCAGAAGACAUGACAGCACCUACUGGUUAAAGCGGCAUAAGAGAAGAUCCGGACUUUGGUGGAUGGUAUAAUGCAUUUUACAGGUGGAGAUGGUUCUUCUGAUGAGAAUGGAGGUUCCUCUGGGAACCCAGGGGAUUGCAUAGUCAACUGAAACAUGCAUUUACCAUGAACAGAAACUUCAAGAGAAUUGUACAUAUGAAGAAAUUAUACUGUUUUCUUCCAGAC